GAUAAACGCUGGCGGCGUGCAUGAGACAUGCAAGUCGAACGAACGACCUCGGGCUUGCCCGGGGAAGUGAGUGGCGAACGGCUGAGUAACGCGUGGGUGACCUGCCCAGAAGUGGGGAAUAACUGCCCGAAAGGGUGGCUAAUACCGCAUGUGGUCAUUAGUUCAUUCUUAUGACCAAAGCCUUAGGGCGCUUUUGGAGGGGCCUGCGUUCGAUUAGCUCGUUGGUGAGGUAACGGCUCACCAAGGCGACGAUCGAUAGGUGGUCUGAGAGGAUGAUCACCCAGACUGGGACUGAGACACGGCCCAGACUCCUACGGGAGGCAGCAGUCGGGAAUUUUGCUCAAUGGGGGAAACCCUGAAGCAGCAACGCCGCGUGAGGGAUGAAGGCCUUCGGGUUGUAAACCUCUUUUCUCAGGGACGAUAAUGAC
rnacentral:rRNA from 1 species